AGGACGAACGCUGGCGGCGUGCCUAACACAUGCAAGUCGAACGAGGUCCAACCGGUGGCAACACUGGUGAAGACCGAGUGGCGAACGGGUGAGUAUCACGUGAGCAACCUGCCCCAAAGACCGGAAUAACCCCGGGAAACCGGAGCUAAUGCCGGAUAUCCCCACCGGGUCGCAUGGCCUGGUGAGGAAAUGGAUUCCGCUUUGGAGGGGCUCGCGGCCUAUCAGCUUGAUGGUGGGGUAACGGCCUACCAUGGCACCGACGGGUAGCUGGUCUGAGAGGGACGAUCAGCCACACUGGGACUGAGACACGGCCCAGACUCCUACGGGAGGCAGCAGUGGGGAAUCUUGCGCAAUGGGCGAAAGCCUGACGCAGCAACGCCGCGUGAGGGACGACCGGCCUUCUGGGUUGUAAACCUCUUUCAGCAGGGACGAUUAUGACGGUACCUGCAGAAGAAGCCCCGGCCAACUACGUGCCAGCAGCCGCGGUAAUACGUAGGGGGCGAGCGUUGUCCGGAAUUAUUGGGCGUAAAGAGCUCGUAGGCGGCUUGGCAAGUCACGUGUGAAAUCUCCAGGCUCAACCUGGAGAUGCCGAGUGAUACUGCCAUGGCUUGAGUCCGGUAGGGGACCAUGGAAUUCCUGGUGUAGCGGUGAAAUGCGCAGAUAUCAGGAGGAACACCAGUGGCGAAGGCGGUGGUCUGGGCCGGAACUGACGCUGAGGAGCGAAAGCGUGGGGAGCGAACAGGAUUAGAUACCCUGGUAGUCCACGCCGUAAACGUUGGGUACUAGGUGUGGGACCCUAUCGACGGGUUCCGUGCCGCAGCUAACGCAUUAAGUGCCCCCGUGGGGAGUACGGCCGCAAGGCUA
rnacentral:rRNA from 1 species